rnacentral:rRNA from 1 species
GUCGCCUCCUAAAAUGUAACGGAGGCGCCCAAAGGUUCCCUCAGAAUGGUUGGAAAUCAUUCGCAGAGUGUAAAGGCACAAGGGAGCUUGACUGCGAGACCUACAAGUCGAGCAGGGACGAAAGUCGGGCUUAGUGAUCCGGUGGUUCCGCAUGGAAGGGCCAUCGCUCAACGGAUAAAAGCUACCCCGGGGAUAACAGGCUUAUCUCCCCCAAGAGUCCACAUCGACGGGGAGGUUUGGCACCUCGAUGUCGGCUCAUCGCAUCCUGGGGCUGUAGUCGGUCCCAAGGGUUGGGCUGUUCGCCCAUUAAAGCGGUACGCGAGCUGGGUUCAGAACGUCGUGAGACAGUUCGGUCCCUAUCCGUCGCGGGCGCAGGAAAUU